UACGUAGGGCGCGAGCGUUGUCCGGAAUUAUUGGGCGUAAAGAGCUCGUAGGCGGUCUGUCGCGUCGGAUGUGAAAGCCCGGGGCUUAACCCCGGGUCUGCAUUCGAUACGGGCAGACUAGAGUGUGGUAGGGGAGAUCGGAAUUCCUGGUGUAGCGGUGAAAUGCGCAGAUAUCAGGAGGAACACCGGUGGCGAAGGCGGAUCUCUGGGCCAUUACUGACGCUGAGGAGCGAAAGCGUGGGGAGCGAACAGGAUUAGAAACCCCCGUAGUCC
rnacentral:rRNA from 1 species